UACAGAGGGUGCGAGCGUUAAUCGGAAUUACUGGGCGUAAAGCGUGCGUAGACGGCUAUCUAAGUCGGGUGUGAAAGCCCCGGGCUCAACCUGGGAAUUGCAUUCGAGACUGAAUAGCUAGGGUACGGUAGAGGGAAGUGGAAUUUCCGGUGUAGCGGUGAAAUGCGUAGAGAUCCGGAGGAACACCAGUGGCGAAGGCGACACGCUGGGCCGUACCUGACACUGAUGCGCGACAGCAUGGGGAGCAAACAGG
rnacentral:rRNA from 1 species